rnacentral:rRNA from 1 species
AACGCUGGCGGCGCGCUUAACACAUGCAAGUCGAGCGAGAACCAGGGCUUCGGCCCUGGGGACAGCGGCGAACGGGUGAGUAACACGUGGGUAAUCUGCCCUCGGUUCUGGGAUAGCCCGGGGAAACCCGGAUUAAUACCGGAUAGCCUCUAGAGCCCUCGGGCUCGUGAGAAAAGGUAGCUUCGGCCUCCGACCGAGGAGGAGCCUGCGGCGGAUUAGCUUGUUGGCGGGGUAACGGCCCACCAAGGCGACGAUCCGUAGCUGGUCUGAGAGGACGAUCAGCCACACUGGGACGAGGACACGGCCCAGACUCCUACGGGAGGCAGCAGUGGGGAAUCUUGCGCAAUGGGCGAAAGCCUGACGCAGCGACGCCGCGUGAGGGAAGAAGGCCUUCGGGUUGUAAACCUCUUUCAGGAGGGACGAAGCCACUCGGGUUAAUAGCCCAGAGGGUGACGGUACCUCCAGAAGAAGCCCCGGCUAACUACGUGCCAGCCGCCGCAGUAAGAC